rnacentral:rRNA from 1 species
ACGCGACUCUCGGCAACGGAUAUCUCGGCUCUCGCAUCGAUGAAGAACGUAUCGAAAUGCGAUACCUGGUGUGAAUUGCAGAAUCCCGCGAACCAUCGAGUCUUUGAACGCAAGUUGCGCCCGAGGCCACCCGGCCGAGGGCACGCCUGCCUGGGCGUCACGC